GAAUGACUCUCGGCAACGGAUAUCUCGGCUCACGCAUCGAUGAAGAACGUAGCAAAAUGCGAUACUUGGUGUGAAUUGCAGAAUCCCGUGAACCAUCGAGUUUUUGAACGCAAGUUGCGCCCGAAGCCAUCUGGUUGAGGGCACGCCUGCCUGGGCGUCAUG
rnacentral:rRNA from 1 species